rnacentral:misc_RNA from 1 species
AAUUGGCCAGCAUAUCUGGAUACAUUUAAAUAAGUGAAUUUAAUUUUAUAGUUAAUUUCUCAUUGAUACUUCUGAGAAAUCGUGGGGGUUGCUGUUUAGAUGGUUGUACCUUGUGACAGUCUUUCAAUCAGUCUCCUUUUUGCUAUAGUUCUGAAACUUUUGCUUGUUCUUGUUCCGUGGUUAUAUUUAUUAUUGUUCACAUAAUUUUGU